rnacentral:rRNA from 1 species
UCUAACCAUGCAGUCGUACCAGUGUAGCCAGUCUUGCUUGGUGGAUCAGUGGCGAACGGGUGAGUAACACGUGAGCAACCUGCCCUGGACUCUGGGAUAAGCGCUGGAAACGGCGUCUAAUACUGGAUAUGAGACGUGAUCGCAUGGUCGUGUUUGGAAAGAUUUUUCGGUCUGGGAUGGGCUCGCGGCCUAUCAGCUUGUUGGUGAGGUAAUGGCUCACCAAGGCGUCGACGGGUAGCCGGCCUGAGAGGGUGACCGGCCACACUGGGACUGAGACACGGCCCAGACUCCUACGGGAGGCAGCAGUGGGGAAUAUUGCACAAUGGGCGAAAGCCUGAUGCAGCAACGCCGCGUGAGGGAUGACGGCCUUCGGGUUGUAAACCUCUUUUAGCAGGGAAGAAGCGAAAGUGACGGUACCUGCAGAAAAAGCGCCGGCUAACUACGUGCCAGCAGCCGCGGUAAUACGUAGGGCGCAAGCGUUAUCCGGAAUUAUUGGGCGUAAAGAGCUCGUAGGCGGUUUGUCGCGUCUGCUGUGAAAUCCCGAGGCUCAACC